rnacentral:rRNA from 1 species
GCGGUGGAGCAUGUGGUUUAAUUCGAAGCUACGCGAAGAACCCUACCAGGUCUUGACAUCUUCUGCCAAUCUUAGAGAUAAGACGUUCCCUUCGGGGACAGAAUGACAGGUGGUGCAUGGUUGUCGUCAGCUCGUGUCGUGAGAUGUUGGGUUAAGUCCCGCAACGAGCGCAACCCUUAUUAUCAGUUGCCAGCAUUCAGUUGGGCACUCUGGUGAGACUGCCGGUGACAAACCGGAGGAAGGUGGGGAUGACGUCAAAUCAUCAUGCCCCUUAUGACCUGGGCUACACACGUGCUACAAUGGACGGUACAACGAGUCGCAAAGUCGCGAGGCUAAGCUAAUCUCUUAAAGCCGUUCUCAGUUCGGAUUGCAGGCUGCAACUCGCCUACAUGAAGUUGGAAUCGCUAGUAAUCGCGGAUCAGCAUGCCGCGGUGAAUACGUUCCCGGGCCUUGUACACACCGCCCGUCACACCAUGAGAGUUUGUAACACCCAAAGCCGGUGAGGUAACCUUUUGGAGCCAGCCGUCUAAGGUGGGACAGAUGAUUAGGGUGAAGUCGUAACAAGGUAACC